rnacentral:rRNA from 1 species
AGUAACGCGUGGAUAACCUGCCUCACACUGGGGGAUAACAGUUAGAAAUGACUGCUAAUACCGCAUAAGCGCACAGUGCCGCAUGGCAGUGUGUGAAAAACUCCGGUGGUGUGAGAUGGAUCCGCGUCUGAUUAGCCAGUUGGCGGGGUAACGGCCCACCAAAGCGACGAUCAGUAGCCGACCUGAGAGGGUGACCGGCCACAUUGGGACUGAGACACGGCCCAA